ACGCUGGCGGCAUGCCUAACACAUGCAAGUCGAACGAGACCUUCGGGUCUAGUGGCGCACGGGUGCGUAACGCGUGGGAACCUGCCUUAGGUUCGGAAUAACUCAGAGAAAUUUGAGCUAAUACCGGAUAAUGUCUUCGGACCAAAGAUUUAUCGCCUUUAGAUGGGCCCGCGUUGGAUUAGCUAGUUGGUGGGGUAAAGGCCUACCAAGGCGACGAUCCAUAGCUGGUCUGAGAGGAUGAUCAGCCACACUGGGACUGAGACACGGCCCAGACUCCUACGGGAGGCAGCAGUGGGGAAUAUUGGACAAUGGGCGAAAGCCUGAUCCAGCAAUGCCGCGUGAGUGAUGAAGGCCUUAGGGUUGUAAAGCUCUUUUACCCGAGAUGAUAAUGACAGUAUCGGGAGAAUAAGCUCCGGCUAACUCCGUG
rnacentral:rRNA from 1 species